GGAAGAGCCAGCCGAUCGGCGACGGCACUCGCUUGCUAAGCGAACGAGCGGCACGAGCCGCCUUGUGGGUCCGACUCCCACCUCUUCCG
rnacentral:tRNA from 1 species